AACGAACGCUGGCGGCAGGCUUAACACAUGCAAGUCGAGCGCCCCGCAAGGGGAGCGGCAGACGGGUGAGUAACACGUGGGGAUCUGCCCAAUGGUACGGAAUAGCUCCGGGAAACUGGAAAUAAUACCGUAUGUGCCCGCAAGGGGAAAGAUUUAUCGCCAUUGGAUGAACCCGCGUCGGAUUAGCUAGUUGGUGAGGUAAAGGCUCACCAAGGCGACGAUCCGUAGCUGGUCUGAGAGGAUGAUCAGCCACACUGGGACUGAGACACGGCCCAGACUCCUACGGGAGGCAGCAGUGGGGAAUAUUGGACAAUGGGCGCAAGCCUGAUCCAGCCAUGCCGCGUGAGUGAUGAAGGCCUUAGGGUUGUAAAGCUCUUUCGCCGACGAAGAUAAUGACGGUAGUCGGAGAAGAAGCCCCGGCUAACUUCGUGCCAGCCGCCGCAGUAAGAC
rnacentral:rRNA from 1 species